rnacentral:lncRNA from 1 species
ACACGAUUAAAAGAGGGAAGCAGAAGAGUUGAGAGCUGGCGGCCGUUCCUGGGGGAAAAACUACUAGAUGAGACAUUACUGUAGGAAAAGCAAAGCUUCUCACACCUCCUGCGUCCAGACAGACCUUCCCAGGACCGCACCUCUCCGCGUCCUCCUCCCCCAAACUCCACUCGGGACCCCAAGAGCCACCCCUGCCUUCCAGCCAGCACAACAAAGAGACACACCGACCGGCGAGGGUAAACAGCGGCGCCUGGGCGAGCAGGGCGGCAGGGCGAGCGCCUCCGAGAGCAACUCCGGAGUCCUCCCUGCUCGCGGGAGCGUAGUUUCUCCUUUUCUUUCUACCAGCUUCAUAACAUUUGGAAUUUUUCAUCUUCACCCGCUCCCGUCACACCCGAGGAUUUUUAACUCACCUUUACUUUCGAAGUGAGAGUUGCAGUAGAUGGGAUUUUUGCCUCACCCAGAUGGUUGAAGGUUAAGAUUUUUGAACUCCCUACCACCCACCUCCUUAUUUCUCUUAUAAUUUCUGCAAGAAAAGUAUAAAGAGAGUUGGAGUGGAGGUGAAAUUUGUGAUCGGGAAAGACCUCGACUCCCUCCUUCUCCGUCUUCCGCCUCUCUCUCUCUGAUUAGUUCCUAUCCAGCAGCAGAUUGAAGCAGGAGAUGAUUCUUCUCAAGGUUUGUUCAGCAGCUUCACUUCUAGGCGAAGGCUUCAUGAACCAAGUGACGUCAACCAACAAGGCUUCUCUCUCUCUCCUCUCUCUAACAAUGAAAGUUGCUGUUAACAAGGGAAAAGGAGAGAGAAUUGUUUAUACCAUUUCAGUUCCAAUAAUAAAUGACCUAUCAGCUCCUAAAGAAGCCAAGGGAGGGGGUUGCUUCUUCCCUCCAAGAACACUGUAGCUGAGUUUGCACCGAUCCUUGUCCCAGGAAAAAGUUAAGAAACUUAAAUGUUUUGUUUUGCUUUUAGAAGAGGACAGAAAACAGGGUUGAAAACUUAAUUGUUAAAAAAUGUAAACUAAUAGUCACUAUUGGUUAACCAUUUUCACUUAAACUUUUUAUGUUUGCAAACUCAAUUCUGUUGAAGUCUACAAACCAACUAAAUUAAUAUGCCAAGAAUUUGUGAAUGUUAGGACUAAAGAGCAGGUCGCAAGAUGGUCCCAGGGUAAAAUGCUAUUGCCUUCCCAUGGACAAGUUACACUGGCUGUAAUGUUUAUGCACUGAGCUAAAAUAAAAUCUAAAAAAGGACGUUAAAAUAGCAAAUCGGUUUAAAGUUAAAUUUACAAACUAAGCAGUAAUGUCGAUCGUUUUGUUUUCCAGAUUCUGAGAGGUUAAGAAACGGAUAGAUAAUUGUAGGAACUGAACAGUUUUUUUAAAUCAAUUUGAAUAAAACCGGUAGCGCACUAAUUCCAUCUUUAAACUAUACACGCGGUAUGUAUUUGACCCCCAGCGUCUCUUCCAACUUUUUUUUAACGUUCCACCCCUCUAAUUCCCAUAUCUUGCAACCAAUCAAGUUAAACGAAGGUAAAAUGUACCCUAUUCCUUUCCACAUACCACUCCAGUUUUCUAAAACUACUUUUAAAAAAACUAUUAUCCAUGAAGACAUGUUAACUUUUAAAUUUUUUCAGUGAACUAGUUCUUUCCUUAAGAACAUGUUAAAGUCUCAAAGUUCAUAUAAAUUACAUAAUGCAUAAUUUAAUUUUCAGGAUGAAGAGCAAGUGAAAAUUAAGCUAUGGGAGAACAACUUAACCAUACAUGUUAUAUUUAUACAUACAUAUGUGGGUAAAUGUAUCUUAAAAGAUGCUAUUGUUUUAUGUUUCCUCCUCAACCACUGGCUGUGAUUUUAAUUGUGCUGGAGGAUCUUCAUUAGUAUUAACACAUGGGGAGAUUUCACAAAGCUGCUUCAUUAGGAAAAAAAAAGCUGGCAGACUAGGUCUUUUUGCAUGCACUGAGAAUGUCAGCCUUACCUCGGUCAUUUGUAACAUAAUAAGUGCAAGUACAAUGAUUGCAAUGCAGGAGCACUGGGGGAAGGGCAGAAAUACUGCCUGUCUAGCAGGAAUAACUGAAAAGAAGGCUGCUCAUUACAUAGUAAAAUGUAUGCUAAAAAUUAGUGAAGAUGAUGUCUCAGGAGACUGAUGCUAAAUAAAUUAAUGUGCUGAUAUGUUUUUAAUUAUUAUUUUUGUAGUAGUUUAUUUCAUUCUCAGGAUUCACAUUGAGCAGCAAAGCUUAUUGAUUUUUUUCCCUGCCACAUUCCCGGAAUACAGAUUUUAAUCAUUUCACUACACCACACUCAGUAAUUUCAUUAAAAACUGGAAUCUUCUAUCCCCAGAAAAGCAUUUAAUUUCAAUGACAUACAAUUUCUCUUUUAGCAGCAAACUGUCUCUACAGUAAAAGCUGGCCUAAGGUUCAAAUGCAUAAUUUAAUCCUGAGUUUUCCAUGCUCUGCAUUCCUUUCAGGCUAUAAUUUGAGUAACUACCUAAUAACUGUAAUAAGGAUAAUAAUUUCCUUAUAAUAUAUUAUUAACUUAUAUUUAAUUAACUCAGAGGCCAAGCUCCAUACGUGUAUGACUGGGUCAACAGUUCUACAAUCUCAAAAUUUACUAAUAAUGUUCCAGAAGAAAAAUGUAAGUAUGAAUGCUACCACUUAGACUUUAAUCCCAAGUCAUAACACAAAAAAGUUCUAUUAUUUUACAAUUGUCAUUACUCAAGUAAGAUUUUUAAGUAUUUGGAAGUAAUGUAAUUCAGUAAUCUUUCUGUACAUAAAAUAUUAGGAUACUGAUAUUUUAACAUUACUGACACUCCCUAAUCAUUUGCAUUGUUAUUGGUACUUAAUUUUGAAAGAAUAAAAGGUUUGGUUUCAAAGUGUCUUGAUUUUGAUAAAGAAUUUUCUUGAAAUACAUUUCUCUUGAAAUAAAAAUAAGUGGCACACUGUAAUGUUAGUAACUAACAGUAUCUUUUCCUUAAAUAUUUUGUUUAAAUAUUUCAUAAAAUAUGGUUCAAUUUUUUGUUCCAGUAAUUUUAAAAAAACUUAGGUUUACAGAUGACACACUGGUUUCCCAAACAGUGCGUUUCAUAAGGAUAUGUAAUUUACAUUGCCUAGUUUGUUUUUAUUUUCUUGUGAUCCUGGGAAUUAAACCCAGGGAUACUCUACCACUGAGCUACAUCCCAGUGCUUUUUUGUUUUUAUUUUGAGACAGUCUCUUGCCAGAUUGCUCAGGCCGGCCUUGAACUGCAAUCCCCUGGGCUCAACCACUGAAGUAGUAGCUGGCAUUACUUGUGCCUGGAACAUUGCCCAUUUUUUAAAGAAAAAAAAAUCCGGUGGAGAAAAUUUUUUCAGUAAAAUUCAUGACUUCAAAUUGUGGAAAUAUGCCUAAUAAACAGGAAAAAUGGUACCUACUUAAUGAUAGUUUUUUGGGGGUUUUUUUGGUACCGGGGAUUGAACUCAGGUCCUUGUGCUUGCAGGGCAGGCAACGGAACCACUGAACGUAAGGAUAGUGAUUAGCUGCUAUAUAAAAAAUCAUCCCCUUCAGUGAUUUUAGAACCACAGUUCAAAAUUUUUUUGAAGAUUAUGUAUAUGUAAUUUUUAAACUGAAGCACCCUACAACACAGCUUUCUUUUCCUUGAUUGUAAGAUGAAAUGAACAAAGCCUGGCCAUUAUAAAAAGUUGGAACAAAGUAUAAAAGUGGUAACAGUGAAUAAGUACUUGAUUUUAAUGGUUUUUGGUUUUUUAGGGUUUUGUUUUGUUUUGUUUUUGAGACAGUGUCCCACUAUGUAGUUCAGGCUGGCCUCAAACUCACUAUGUAGCCCAGGCUGGCCUUGAACUCACUGCAAUCCUCCUGCCUCAACCUCACCAGUAUUGGGAUUACACAUGUCCGCCACCAUGCCCAGCUUGUUUAAUGGUUUUUUAAAAAUAUUAGAAAACUAUAUUAGCAUAAGGGCUCUUUGUAUAGUUUGGGAAAUGUUUUUGUGACAUUCUCAAAGAUGAAAUGAAAUUAAAUGGAAAUCAGUAACAAAA